rnacentral:rRNA from 1 species
CUUAGUGGCGGACGGGUGAGUAACGCGUGGAUAACCUGCCGUAUACAGGGGGAUAACACUUAGAAAUAGGUGCUAAUACCGCAUAAGCGCACGGUUCCGCAUGGAACAGUGUGAAAAACUCCGGUGGUAUACGAUGGAUCCGCGUCUGAUUAGCCAGUUGGCGGGGUAACGGCCCACCAAAGCGACGAUCAGUAGCCGGCCUGAGAGGGUGAACGGCCACAUUGGGACUGAGACACGGCCCAAACUCCUACGGAAGGCAGCAG